CCUACGGGAGGCAGCAGUGAGGAAUAUUGGUCAAUGGACGCAAGUCUGAACCAGCCAUGCCGCGUGCAGGAAGACGGCUCUAUGAGUUGUAAACUGCUUUUGUACGAGGGUAAACGCAGAUACGCGUAUCUGUCUGAAAGUAUCGUACGAAUAAGGAUCGGCUAACUCCGUGCCAGCAGCCGCGGUAAUACGGAGGAUUCAAGCGUUAUCCGGAUUUAUUGGGUUUAAAGGGUGCGUAGGCGGUCGGAUAAGUUAGAGGUGAAAUCCCGAGGCUCAACUUCGGAAUUGCCUCUGAUACUGUUGGGCUAGAGAGUAGUGGCGGUAGGCGGAAUGUAUGGUGUAGCGGUGAAAUGCUUAGAGAUCAUACAGAACACCGAUUGCGAAGGCAGCUUACCAAGCUACUUCUGACGUUGAGGCACGAAAGCGUGGGGAGCAACAGGAUUAGAUACCCUUGUAGUC
rnacentral:rRNA from 1 species